CACACACACAUACACACACAAAAUUUUGUGAUUUUUCUCCUAGUGUCUAAUUAGCUUUCUGUGCUUUUUUUCGUUUGUAGAUCAUGAAUCUGCGGGUGAACCGAUCGAAGAGCUGGAUUAACCGCAGUGGCAGAUGAGGUGGUGGAGCUAGUGGCGGCAGAGUUAGUGGCCCAAAUGUUGUCGGAUUGUUAAUAUUGUUCAAAGAAACUUCAUCAACAAUGUGAUCAGAUGAAGGUUUUUGCGGUGGCGGAGUUGGUGGUGGUGGGGUUUGAUUAUGAGGCGGGGUUGUUGAUGCGUUUAUUGAUAUUGAAGUGGUGGCGAAGAGAAAUAUCGGGAGGGGUGGAAAUUUGUUGGCGAAAGAGAAGGUUCUGAGACAGAGAGUGAAAACGACACCGAGAGAAAUACCGACGACGAAAAGAAACAAACGAAGUAAGCGAUUGGAGAUUGCGAAGUGGCGUUUGGUGAGUUUAAGGUUAAUCAUCGUUUGGAAAAAAAUGCAAGUUGUUGUGUCGUACGUACUAGUUUUGCAUGUGCUUUCAUUUGUUGGUUGGUUAAGAUGAAUAUGUUAUUUGGAUUUUGGAGAGGGAAGGAAGGAAGAGUAAUAAUUUGUUAAAACAAAAGGUGAAGUAAGAAGAUAAUUAAGUGAA